UGAAGUGUGGACGCCAGUCUGCAUGGAGCCGACCUUGAAAUACCACCCUUUAAUGUUUGAUGUUCUAACGUGGACCCGUGAUCCGGGUUGCGGACAGUGUCUGGUGGGUAGUUUGACUGGGGCGGUCUCCUCCUAAAGAGUAACGGAGGAGCACGAAGGUUGGCUAAUCCUGGUCGGACAUCAGGAGGUUAGUGCAAUGGCAUAAGCCAGCUUGACUGCGAGCGUGACGGCGCGAGCAGGUGCGAAAGCAGGUCAUAGUGAUCCGGUGGUUCUGAAUGGAAGGGCCAUCGCUCAACGGAUAAAAGGUACUCCGGGGAUAACAGGCUGAUACCGCCCAAGAGUUCAUAUCGACGGCGGUGUUUGGCACCUCGAUGUCGGCUCAUCACAUCCUGGGGCUGAAGUAGGUCCCAAGGGUAUGGCUGUUCGCCAUUUAAAGUGGUACGCGAGCUGGGUUUAGAACGUCGUGAGACAGUUCGGUCCCUAUCUGCCGUGGGCGCUGGAGAACUGAGGGGGGCUGCUCCUAGUACGAGAGGACCGGAGUGGACGCAUCACUGGUGUUCGGGUUGUCAUGCCAAUGGCACUGCCCGGUAGCUAAAUGCGGAAGAGAUAAGUGCUGAAAGCAUCUAAGCACGAAACUUGCCCCGAGAUGAGUUCUCCCUGAGACUUAGAGUCUCCUGAAGGAACGUUGAAGACGACGACGUUGAUAGGCCGGGUGUGUAAGCGCAGCGAUGCGUUGAGCUAACCGGUACUAAUGAACCGUGAGGCUUAACCUU
rnacentral:rRNA from 1 species